CCCCGCGGUUCGGAUUCGUCGCUGUGGGCUGAAGGAGAGGUGUAGAAAAGCCCAGAGGCGAGGUUCCAGUGCAACCCAGUGGGGAGACUCCUCGAAAGCCAGAAUCCAAAAAGCUUCCCUUGCCUGUGGAUUUGGAGCAGCCAGCUGUACAGAUUGCCUUGUGGCAAGCCCCUGUUUUCACAUGUUCCACUUGCAAUGGCCUCUUGUCCACAACUCCUGGCAUAUGAGAACCCUCUCCGGGAAAAAACAGACUCCUGGAAGAAUCCACUUCUGGUUGUGCACAAGGGACAAAGAACAUUAAAAAAAACCAAGAAUGUCACUCAUGCUGCAGGGGGAAAUCCCACCAUUGUGCUGCAGUCUUGAGUAGCAGAAACCACCCUGGCCAAGGGGCUGGAACUGACACCCCCCUCAGUGCGAGAGAGAAAUCCUGACUUGGAUUCAAGCUGUGGGGCUCAG